CACGUAGGGGGCAAGCGUUGUCCGGAAUCAUUGGGCGUAAAGAGCUCGUAGGCGGCUCAGUAAGUCGGGUGUGAAACCCUCAGGCUCAACCUGGGGACGCCACCCGAUACUGCUGUGGCUAGAGUCCAGUAGGGGAGUGUGGAAUUCCCGGUGUAGCGGUGAAAUGCGCAGAUAUCGGGAGGAACACCAGUGGCGAAGGCGACUACCUGGCCUGUUCUUGACGCUGAGGCGCGAAAGCUAGGGGAGCAAACGGG
rnacentral:rRNA from 1 species